GACGAACGCUGGCGGCGUGCUUAACACAUGCAAGUCGAACGGUGAACCUCUUCGGAGGGGAUCAGUGGCGAACGGGUGAGUAACACGUGGGCAACCUGCCCCCGGCUCUGGGAUAACUCCAAGAAAUUGGGGCUAAUACCGGAUGUUCACCGCUUCCCGCAUGGGUGGUGGUGCAAAGGGUUUCCGGCUGGGGAUGGGCCCGCGGCCUAUCAGCUUGUUGGUGGGGUAGUGGCCUACCAAGGCGACGACGGGUAGCCGGCCUGAGAGGGUGACCGGCCACACGGGGACUGAGACACGGCCCAGACUCCUACGGGAGGCAGCAGUGGGGAAUAUUGCGCAAUGGGCGGAAGCCUGACGCAGCGACGCCGCGUGGGGGAUGACGGCCUUCGGGUUGUAAACCUCUUUCAGCAGGGACGAAGCGCAAGUGACGGUACCUGCAGAAGAAGCACCGGCCAACUACGUG
rnacentral:rRNA from 1 species